GAAUGUCGCGGUGAAUACGUUCCCGGGUCUUGUACACACCGCCCGUCCACACCAUGGGAGUCAGUAACGCCCGAAGUCAGUGACCCAACCUAUUAGGAGGGAGCUGCCGAAGGUGGGACCGAUAACUGGGGUGAAGUCGUAACAAGGUAAC
rnacentral:rRNA from 1 species